rnacentral:rRNA from 1 species
CUGGUUGCCGGCACGCGAGUUGGCUCCGAGCCGCGGCGGACCGCACUUCUCCCUUAGUAGGACGUCGCGACCCGCUCGUCCGUGGCCUACGGCUGAGCAAGAUGCCUGGCACUGGCGUUGGUCCUUCGGGGCCAGCGGUUUGAGUCAGACUGCUCGUGCUUCCUGGCCACGGUAACGGACGGUAUCAAAUACCGGUGUCGAGUCGCUUCUUAGCGGAAGGGAAAUAAAACACCCUUUCGUACGGAAGCGUCCUAGGCAGAGGGCAAGGUUUCUGAGUUUCUAAAAACGUAAGUUUUGAAGUCAAGACGUUUGUUUUACGUUCGUCUGGCGGAGCUCGGGCCUGUUGGUUCUCUGUCUUUGGACUGGCUCAUUCCCAUUGCGCGGAGAAAGGCACCAGUCAGCGGCGAUCUAGUUUUGGGCUCUUUUCCGACCCGUCUUGAAACACGGACCAAGGAGUUUAGCGUGCUCGCGAGUCAUUGGGUGUUACAAAACCUAAAGGCGAAAUGAAAGUAAAGAGCUGUCUUUUGACUCUCAAGGGAGGAUGAGCUACUGCUCUGGUCGUUCUAACCGGCGGCUGAGCGUGUCUCCGCACUCCCGGGGCGAUUCUUUCUCAUUGCGAGUGGAGGCGCACCAAGAGCGAGCACGCUGAAACCCGAAAGAUGGUGAACUAUGCCUGGCCAGGACGAAGCCAGGGGAAACCCUGGUGGAGGUCCGCAGCGAUUCUGACGUGCAAAUCGAUCGUCGGAGCUGGGUAUAGGGGCGAAAGACCAAUCGAACCAUCUAGUAGCUGGUUCCCUCUGAAGUUUCCCUCAGGAUAGCUUGCGCUCGGGUGUGAAGAGUCUCAUCCGGUAGAGCGAAUGAUUAGAGGCCUUGGGGUCGAAACGACCUCAACCUAUUCUCAAACUCCAAAUAGAUGAGAACCCCGGCUUGCUUGAAUUUUUUUUUUAUUGAAGCCGCGGGACUCGGAUCAAAGUGCCAAGUGGGCCAAUUUUGGUAAG